UUUUUGCGUUAGGGAUCGCAGCGGCAUCCCCGCAGCAUAGCAAGGGAUAUAGCGGAGAGCCCGACCGACG
rnacentral:misc_RNA from 1 species